rnacentral:tRNA from 82 species
CGGGGUGUAGCGCAGCUUGGUAGCGCAUCCGCUUUGGGAGCGGAGGGUCGCAGGUUCAAAUCCUGUCACCCCGACCA